rnacentral:rRNA from 1 species
CACGUAGGGCGCGAGCGUUGUCCGGAAUUAUUGGGCGUAAAGAGCUCGUAGGCGGCCUGUUGUGUCCGCUGUGAAAGCCCGGGGCUUAACCCCGGGUCUGCAGUGGAUACGGGCAGGCUAGAGGUAGGUAGGGGAGAAUGGAAUUCCCGGUGUAGCGGUGAAAUGCGCAGAUAUCGGGAGGAACACCGGUGGCGAAGGCGGUUCUCUGGGCCUUACCUGACGCUGAGGAGCGAAAGCGUGGGGAGCGAACAGG